rnacentral:lncRNA from 1 species
AUUAUGCGGAUGUUUGUGGGCUAGGAGACAGUGACAAAUUUGCUUCUUUCGUAUUAGUUAAAAUAUCUUUUUGGUUUUAUAUUAUAUAUACACGUUUACUUUGAAAAUGUCGAUAGUCUGUGCGUUUACCUGAAAGCAGUAUCUGUAAAAUAACUGACGUUGGCUGCUCACGGCCUCUCCCUCGUGGUCGUAAUUUUAUUUAGUUAAGCAUUUUUAUCGAAUAUGACUUGAUAAUUUUUUAGUAAGCUUUUGAAAAUGCUUGCUGCUUAUAAAUAUUGUUGUGUAGAGAACCAAAGUCCAAGAAACGGUGCGAAAGGGCAAACGCAGAUUUCUUGUUGGAUGGCAGGCCGUUGACGCCAACUGUUGACAACCAUUAUGUUGGAUGAGAGAAAUUGAGGCUGGUAGACGAUGCCAACAGUUGACGACCAAUUGGUUGGAUCAAAGAAACUGAGGCUGGUAGUCGAUGUCAACAGUUGACAAUAAAAUGGUUAGAUGAGUGAAAUCAGUUGCCUUGUAGCAGAUGCCAUCUUUCAGCAAAAAAAAGAGUUUGGAUGAGAAAAACAGAGGCUGCCAGGUAGCUGAUGCCAACAAUAGGCGACCAAUGGUUUGGAUCAAACUGAAGCUGCUAGAUAGCUGAUGCCAACAAUACACAGCCAAUAGGU